rnacentral:rRNA from 1 species
AGAGUUUGAUCAUGGCUCAGAAUGAACGUUGGCGGCGUGGAUUAGGCAUGCAAGUCGAGGGAGAACCCGCAAGGGGGACACCGGCGAACGGGGUAGGAUCACCUCGGUGACGUACCCUCCGGACGGGGAUAGCGACGGGAAACUGUCGGUAAUACCCGAUGAUCUGGCUGGCUUUGAAGGCUGGUCAGCAAAGGUGAGAUUCCACCGGAGGAGCGGCUGAGGCGCUAUUAGCUAGUUGGGGAGGUAACGGCUCACCAAGGCGACGAUGGCUAGGGGGUGUGAGAGCAUGGCCCCCACCACUGGCACUGAGACACUGGCCAGACACCUACGGGUGGCUGCAGUCGAGAAUCUUCGGCAAUGGGCGCAAGCCUGACCGAGCGACGCCGCGCGCGGGAUGAAGGUCUUCGGAUUGUAAACCGCUGUCGGAGGGGAUGAAGUGCAGGGGGGCAAUCCCCCCUGUUUGACAGAGCCUCGGAGGAAGCACGGGCUAAGUUCGUGCCAGCAGCCGCGGUAAUGCGAACUGUGCGAACGUUAUUCGGAAUCACUGGGCUUAAAGGGUGCGUAGGCGGCCGCUCAAGUCAGGUGUGAAAUCCCCCGGCUCAACCGGGGAACAGCGCUUGAAACUAGGUGGCUAGAGUGAGGUAAGGGACCACGGAACUUCCGGUGGAGCGGUGAAAUGUGUAGAUAUCGGAAGGAACGCCGGUGGCGAAAGCGGUGGUCUGGGCCUUGUCUGACGCUGAGGCACGAAAGCCAGGGGAGUGAACGGGAUUAGAUACCCCGGUAAUCCUGGCCGUAAACACUGAGCACUGGAGGGGGGCAGGUUCGCCCGUCCCCCUCGCAGCGAAAGCGUUAAGUGCUCCGCCUGGGGAGUAUGGUCGCAAGGCUGAAACUCAAAAGGAAUUGACGGGGCUCACACAAGCGGUGGAGCAUGUGGCUUAAUUCGAGGCAACGCGAAGAACCUUAUCCUGGGCUUGACAUGGUCGGAUU